GGUCGCGUGGCCCAAUGGCAAGGCGUCUGACUACGAUUUCAGCGAUAAUCAGGAGAUUGCGGGUUCGAUCCCCGUCGUGACCU
rnacentral:tRNA from 2 species